UGCUGUUCCACACCCGGCUGUGUCCGUGCCAGACGCUUGCUCACUCAUGUCCCUUUGUGUGUGCACAGCUGAAUCCUCACCCGAGUCACACAAGUCUUCCAAGUAAGUUCCGUUCUUCCCCCUUCUACAGGCAAGGACACAGAGCUUCGCAGAAUUCAGCUCUUUCGGCCCAGGUCCCUUGCCCCAGGAAGGUGGGGGACGACCCAGCCAAUCUCUCCAGAGCCCGCGGCGUGCACAGCAGAGCUCAGAAGGGCCGCUUCUGAAUCCUCGAGCAGCAGUGUUCGAUUUUCUGUCAAUGCUGACUCCAAACGGCUGCUCUUCCCCAUCCGGGUGCUGCCGGUCUCCAGCCAGCAUGUGCCAGACUCGGAGGGGACAGCAGCUUGAGCUCAUAAAGAUACAAUAAUAAUCGUAAGGGGCAUAACAGGGGUCGGGCACGGUGGCUCACGCCUGUAAUCCCAGCGCUUUGGGAGGCCGAGGCGGGCGGAUCACGAGGUCAGGAGAUCGAGACCAUCCUGGCUAACACGGCGAAACCCCGUCUCUACUAAAAAUACAAAAAACAAAAUCAGCCGGGCGCGGUGGCUCACGCCUGUAAUCCCAGCGCUUUGGGAGGCCGAGGCGGGUGAAUCACGAGGUCAGGAGAUUGAGACCAUCCUGGCUAACACGGUGAAACGCCAUCUCUACUAAAAAUACAAAAAAUUAG
rnacentral:lncRNA from 1 species